AUUAAGACAAUUAAUAUAAGUAUUAAAAAAUGCUAUUAACAGAAAAUUUUCUGAGCUACCCUUGUCAGCUACAAUUUGCAGGGGCUACAUCGGCUACAUUUUCAAAGUUAGGCUGGUUAGGCUUGCUAGACGGAAACGAAUCCAUUACAAUCCAAUCGAGAUACAACCUUCGUGCUGCGUGCGAAUGCUGCGAGUUUGACGCUUUCUUCGUGAUCUAAGUUAAUUAUAUUCCAAUGAAGCCGCCGCCGAGUGGUCCAAAACUAAGCAUAAUAUUGGGUGGAUUUGUUGCCAUUCUAGGAGCUGCGUUGUACCCCAUCGCGAUACAUCCAUACCUGCACUCCGACGAGUACAGUAUGAAAGUGUGGUCGGACCCCUUCAGCAGGAAAUGAAAGGAUGCAAGACUGUCGUCUAGUAGCUUUAGGGGAGCCAUGAAUAUGUAUAUACAAAAUACAAAAAUGUAUUAAAACCUCCGUAGGAACGACAUA